rnacentral:rRNA from 1 species
UUUCAACGGAGAGUUUGAUCCUGGCUCAGGACGAACGCUGGCGGCGUGCUUAACACAUGCAAGUCGAGCGGAAAGGCCCUUCGGGGUACUCGAGCGGCGAACGGGUGAGUAACACGUGAGUAAUCUGCCCUUCACUUCGGGAUA